rnacentral:rRNA from 1 species
GUGAGGAAUAUUGGUCAAUGGGCGAGAGCCUGAACCAGCCAAGUCGCGUGAAGGAUGAAGGUUUUAUGAAUUGUAAACUUCUUUUGCAGGGGAAUAAAGUACGGUACGUGUACCGUUUUGUAUGUACUCUGCGAAUAAGGAUCGGCUAACUCCGUGCCAGCAGCCGCGGUAAUACGGAGGAUCCAAGCGUUAUCCGGAUUUAUUGGGUUUAAAGGGUGCGCAGGCGGGUUGAUAAGUCAGCGGUGAAAGUUUGCAGCUUAACUGUAAAAUUGCCGUUGAAACUGUCGAUCUUGAGUGCAAAUGAGGUAAGCGGAAUGUGUUGUGUAGCGGUGAAAUGCUUAGAUAUAACACAGAACACCGAUUGCGAAGGCAGCUUACUGGGAUGCAACUGACGCUCAUGCACGAAAGCGUGGGGAUCAAACAGGAUUAGAAACCCCUGUAGUCC